rnacentral:rRNA from 1 species
GACGAACGCUGGCGGCGUGCCUAAUACAUGCAAGUAGAACGCAGUUGCGAACGGGUGAGUAACGCGUAGGUAACUGCCUCAUAGCGGGGGAUAACUAUUGGAAACGAUAGCUAAUACCGCAUACUUUGAGAUGGACCUGCGUUGUAUUAGCUAGUUGGUGGGGUAAAGGGUCACCAAGGCGCCGAUACAUAGCCUACCUGAGAGGGAGGUCGGCAACACUGGGACUGGGACACGGCCCAGGGUCCUACGGGAAGGAGCAGAAGGGAAUCUUCGGCAAUGGGCGGAAGUCUGACCGAGCAACGGCGCGUGAGUGAAGAGGGUUUUCGGGUCGUAAAGCUCUGUUGUUAGAGAAGCGGUAACUGACGAAGAAGGAACGGCUAACUACGUGCCAGCAGCCGCGGUAAUAC